AAAAAAAGGGGGAGGGGGUGGGAAAUGUUCCCCUUCUUUACACUUUUCUGGGAUCUCCUAGGAAACUUCCUGGGCUGCCUGCAGAGAACAGCCUAGCCAGCCUGAGCCAGGCCAGUUCCUGAAUGAGUAACCCCGCUUCGCAGAGAUGCGACCCAGGGGCGAGCUCGGGUGCAGAGUCGCCUGAGGCUAAGACCUAACACCGGGAGGAAGGGAGAGAAUGGAAAGCGAGGCUCUGGCAUCUCAGUGCCUCCCCUCUGCCCCAGAGCCAAAGCCACACACGUCAGGGUGGUGUCUGGGAUGCCUGCCCUCCACACGGGCAUCUCCGUAUAAUGUUUCAGGGCCGGGCCAGCGAACCCUCCGGCGUGCCAGGAGGACAGGCUGCCCCUCCAACAGCUGUGGUUCCAGAAGUCUUCCUGGGAGACGCCCAGGGCCCCUCCCAAGCUGGGGGUGCCAGGAGACCCAGCCUCCCAGUGCUGGGACAAGAAAAGGAGCCUUCCGCUAGGAGCCAGACACCCUGCGGCGGCGGCGUCAGGGAGCGCGGCAACCCAUCCACCUCCCAUCCCCACAGCGGCCGAGCCAAGCAGAGCCCGGAACUGCGUCCUCAACAGCUCCUCCCUGAUGCUGCGGGGCGCCGUGGUGGCUGUCCCCAUUUUACAGAUGAGAAGACUGAGUCCCAGAAUACAAAAAGGCAUUUUUCCGACCGUGAAAACAAAGUCAAGGAAACUUCUCUCCGAGACCUCGCUAAACACAGAGGUGGCUCUGCCAAGUGGAGGCGUUUUUUUCCUGGGAGAUCGCAGUCUGUCCGUCCGUCCGCAGAAGCGCUUGUUUUAAGAUCUUAAGUUUGGAGGGCGAGCCAGGGAAAUUCUGAGCCAGAGAUUUGUUUUCCGUCCAGUGGGGGAGCAGUUCCUAUGCACCAGAAAGUUGUGACAGUUAAAAAAAAAAAAGAAAUAAAUAAAUAAAUAAAAAGGAAAAAAAAGAGUACAAAGUGCUCAGACACAACACCUGGCCCAGGAUGAGUGUUCAGUACGUGUGCAAUGUAGAAGUAGCUAAAUAAUGCCGAUACCCAACCACUGUUGACCUACAGGAACGGCAAUUUGGUAUGGUUCAAUCUAAUGGUUAACGCUUCUAGAAAGCUGAGAAGGUUUUAGGAACUCAGAGCCAGCCUGGGGUGGGAGUAGUGUGGGGAGAGGGGGCGUGUCAGGGCAUCAAGAGGCCCAGUGAGGCCCCUGGGCCCAGAGCACGCACCCUGGCCCCAGCGGGACCUCCGGAGUCCUCCAGUGACUCACCCUCCCCUACUCUGAAGCCAGUUUCGCUUCCACAUUUGGAUGCAGGCUGAGCGCCUCGCCCCUCCCUCCUCCUGAAGGGGAGGGUGCUGAGGAUGGAGGGGAGGAAGGGCUCACCUAACUGGGCGGCACUCACUCCUUUCCUAGAUGUCUCUCCAGAGGAGGAGGAGGAGGAGGAGGACGCCACCUGGGACCAUGGCUUUGAACACUGGUUGCAAAAAUCUGAAGCUGCCAGCCUAUGAUUUGCCUUCUUUCACCUGGAAAUGUUUCUUCCUGGAAACAAACCGUGAAAGGGCAGGGAGGCCUCGCGGUCUGGCAACAUCCCUUUGAAAAUAAACAAGCGCGGGAGCUGGAAGGCAGCCGCCUCUCUGGGGACCACUUGGAGAAACAGUCUGAGGCCCGGGCAUCCGCCGCACGUGGCUCUCCGGCCCGCCAGACAGCAGAAAUUUCAUAUAAAUGGGAUCCAGUCUGCAGUCACGGGUGGAUUUCAAGCCCGAAUCUAACAAGGGAGCAAUGAGCCAGGACAGCAAGCACGCCCACCUGCACCCUGGGCCUUCCCUGCGUGCUGGGUCACCUGUGGCACCGUCGUAUCUGAAUCUCAGUCUUCACAUCUUUAAAAUGGGGCUACAGCUGAAACCGGUUUGGCUCAGUGGAUAGAGCGUCGGCCCGCGGACUGAAAUGUCCCAGGUUCAAUUCCGGUCAAGG